GAUGAACGCUGGCGGCGUGCCUAAUACAUGCAAGUCGAGCGAACAGAUGAGGAGCUUGCUCCUCUGACGUUAGCGGCGGACGGGUGAGUAACACGUGGAUAACCUACCUAUAAGACUGGGAUAACUUCGGGAAACCGGAGCUAAUACCGGAUAAUAUAUUGAACCGCAUGGUUCAAUAGUGAAAGACGGUUUUGCUGUCACUUAUAGAUGGAUCCGCGCCGCAUUAGCUAGUUGGUAAGGUAACGGCUUACCAAGGCAACGAUGCGUAGCCGACCUGAGAGAGGGAUCGGCCACACGGGAACUGAGACACGGUCCAGACUCCUACGGGAGGCAGCAGUAGGGAAUCUUCCGCAAUGGGCGAAAGCCUGACGGAGCAACGCCGCGUGAGUGAUGAAGGUCUUCGGAUCGUAAAACUCUGUUAUUAGGGAAGAACAAAUGUGUAAGUAACUAUGCACGUCUUGACGGUACCUAAUCAGAAAGCCACGGCUAACUACGUG
rnacentral:rRNA from 1 species